GUUGCUUUGGUCGAGUGGUUAAGGUGUGUGCUCGCUAAGUGCAUGGGGAUCCCUCGUGAGAGUUCAAACCUCUUAGGCGACA
rnacentral:tRNA from 1 species